ACGAACGCUGGCGGCGUGCUUAACACAUGCAAGUCGAACGGAAAGGCCCUGCUUUUGUGGGGUGCUCGAGUGGCGAACGGGUGAGUAACACGUGAGUAACCUGCCCUUGACUUUGGGAUAACUUCAGGAAACUGGGGCUAAUACCGGAUAGGAGCUCCUGCUGCAUGGUGGGGGUUGGAAAGUUUCGGCGGUUGGGGAUGGACUCGCGGCUUAUCAGCUUGUUGGUGGGGUAAUGGCUUACCAAGGCUUUGACGGGUAGCCGGCCUGAGAGGGUGACCGGCCACAUUGGGACUGAGAUACGGCCCAGACUCCUACGGGAGGCAGCAGUGGGGAAUAUUGCACAAUGGGCGGAAGCCUGAUGCAGCAACGCCGCGUGCGGGAUGACGGCCUUCGGGUUGUAAACCGCUUUCGCCUGUGACGAAGCGUGAGUGGCGGUAAUGGGUAAAGAAGCACCGGCUAACUACGUG
rnacentral:rRNA from 1 species